CAAGGUGUCACACGCAGCGAGUCCAGUGACAACGCCCAAUUCCUCCAAAAGAGAGUUCAAAUCGCCACCCUUCCCCUCUGUGUGACUCUGGGCGAGUCCCUUCCCCGUCAGGUCUCAGUUUCUUCAACUAAAAGUAAAGUUCUAGCACCUAACUGGGACACAAACUCACAAAACGCCGCGGAUUGCAAGUUGCGCACCUUCCGGACGCUCUGACAGCCAAAGGCCGAGCCUGCUUUGCGCAUCACGUGAUCACAAGGCCCGGCCUCCAGGGCCCGCCCAUUCCAGUCUGAGUUCUUCAGACCUUUCCGGGAAGUUAGUGUAAAUAUCUUGCGAAUCUGCGUGCGCAGCGGCGGCGGUCUCAAGGUCCCGCUGUCAGCCCUCCCUGAAGGGGACGGGGCGGGGCCUCCCUGCGGGCCUGCGCACUGCGGCUAGCGCGCCUGCGCAGUGCGCCCAAAUCGGCAGGGCCCGGGUCACCCUGAGCAGGGAAGGUGCCGCCAUGCUGACCAGGUUCCUGGGCCCGCGCUACCGCCAGCUGGCCAGAAACUGGGUCCCCACAGCAAGCAUAUGGGGCGCCGUAGGUGCCGUGGGGCUGGUAUGGGCCACUGACUGGCGGCUGAUUCUGGACUGGGUGCCCUACAUCAACGGCAAGUUCAAGAAGGAUGACUAAACUCACGACCUCAGGCCCCUCUGGUGUCUGCUGUACUGCCUCCUGCCAUCUGCAUCUGGAACUGCCCAGGCUCUCUGGAUGGACUCUAGGCCAGGGCACUUCAGAAGGAACCCAGCUUCAUCAUCAAAAAGUCUACAGAUAAUAGCUGCUGGAGAGGUGUGGAGAAAACCCUCCCACACUGACGGUGGGAAUGUGAACUGGCUCAGCCACAGUGGAGAACGGUUAUGGAGGUCCCUUAAGAAACUAAAAGUGGAACUACCAUGUGAUCCUGCAGUCCCACUCCUGGGCAUAUAUCUGGAAAAGAUGAAAACACUCAUUUGAAAAGAUGCAUGGAUCCCAGUGUUCAUACCAGUAGUAUUCACAAUAGCCAAGACGUGGAAGCAACCUACACGUCCGUCAACAGAUGAAUGGGUAGUGUGGUCUGUAUAUACAAUGGAAUAUUACUCAGCCAUAAAAGGAUGAAGUAUUGCAGCAACAUGGAUGGGCCUAGAGAUUUUCAUACUAAGUAAAAUAAACAAGACAGAGAAAUACAAAUCUAUAAUAUUGCUUAUAUGUGGAAUCUUUAAAAAAUGAUACAAACUUAUUAAGAAAUAGGCCCACAGACAUCGAAAACAAACUUUAUGGUUACUAAAAGAAAGGGCGGGAGAGAGGAAUACAUUAAGAGUUUGGGAUUAACAUACACACACUAAUAUAUAUGAAAUAAACAAGGACCUACUGUAUAGCACAGGGAACUAUAUUCAACACUUUAUAAUAAACCAUAAUGAAAAAGAAUAUAUACGUGCAUGUGUAUAACUCAAUCACUUUGCUAUAUACCUGAAACUACCACAUUAUAAAUCAACUAUACUUCAAUUAAAACCCACACCGCAUCCUCAGUUUUUAAAUAGCUGCCUGGUACCAACAUUUAUUAACGAGUCUACUGCAUGCACACUCAGUUGCUUGUGUGGUGUCCCACUCUGUGAUCCCAGGGGCUGUAGCCCACCAGGCUCCUUGUCCGUGAGGAUUUUCCAGGCAAGAAUACUGGAGUGGGUUGCCAUGCACUCCUCCAGGAGAUCUUCCCAACCCAGGGAUCAAACCUGCAUCUCUUAUGUCUCCUGCAUUGGCAGGUGGGUUCUUUACCACUAGUGCCACCUGGGAAGCUCAACCAGUCUACUGAAGUGAAAAGUGAAAGUCGCUCGGUGUGUCCAUGUACUAUACAGUCCAUGGAAUUCUCUAGGCCAGAAUACUGGAGUGGGUAGCCUUUCCCUUCUCCAGGGGAUCUUUCCAACCCAGGAAUCAAACCCAGGUCUCCCACAUUGCAGGCAGAUUCUUUACCAGCUGAGCCACAAGAGAAGCCCAAGAAUACUGGAGUGGGUACCCUAUCCCUUCUCCAGAGGAUCUUCCCAACCCAGGAAAUCAAUCCAGGAUCUCCGGCAUUGCAGGCGGAUUCUUUACCAACUGAGCUGUGAGAGAAGAAUGAGAGACAUUCUGUUCCUGUCAUUUGCCAUUAUAACUAUCUGUGGAGUGAUGUGAUUUCAGACCUCACCUAAAUCUCUGUGUUUAAUAGACGUCACUUAAGUACCUAUAAGUGAUGGAAUGUGAGACAAGUUACACUUAAUUUUUUUUUAAUUUUUUUUUUAACAAUUCCUAACUUGCAGGUGUGGACAGUCCCACAGGCCCCCAUCAAAGCCUGAGACAAAAGGAAAUGUGAACCCACCACACAUGAAUUUUUAUGUAUUUUCAUCAUGGUUAAUAGUUUUAAUGAAAAUAUCAGAGUUUGCUCCUGUGAAAGCCAAAAAAGUAAAAUUCUAAUAAAUGCAGGUUUGGAUUAAGUACAAUACUUAGGCUAACUUUUUCAACCACUUUAAUAUUCUGGGAGAGGAAAAUAAACCAUCAAAAACUAUAUAAAAACACAUAUAAAGGGCAUAUCUUCUUCAUUUUGUCUCAGACUUUAAAAUAGCACUGUUCAAUCUGUAUUUAAAGUUUUGACAUUUUGUAUAUAAACAUUUCCUACAAUUCAGUAACAAAAGAAAAAAUCCAAUUGAAAAAUAGGCAAAGUCCUAAAUGGAUAUUCCUCCAAAGAUGGCCAAUAAGCACAUGAAAAGAUGUUCAACAUCACUAGUUAUUAGACAAAUGAAAAUCACAACCACAGUGAGGUACCACCUCACACCAGUCAGAAUGGCCAUCACUAGAAAAAUCUACAGGUAAUAAAUGCUGGAGAGGAUGUGAAGAAACAAGAACCCUCCUACACCGUCAGUGGGAUUGUAAAUUGGUGUAGCCACUAUGGAAAACAGUAUGGAGGUUCCUUAUAAAACUAAAAAUAGGGACUUCCCUAGUAGUCCAGUGGUUAGGACUCUGUGUUUUCACUACCAAGGGCCCAGAUCUGAUCCCUGGUUGGGGAUCUAAAAUCCCACAAGCCCAUAGUGUGGCCAAAAAAAAAAGAGUUGCCAUAUGAUCCAGUAAUCCCACUCCUGGGCAUAUACCAAAAACUAUAAUUUGAAAAGAUACAUGCAUCCCAAGUUCACAGCAGCACUAUUUACAACAGCCAAGACAUGGAAGCAACCUAGAUGUCCAUCAACAGAGGAAUGGAUAAAGAAGACAUGAUACACACACACACACACACACAACGGAACAUUAGCCAUCAAAAAGAAUGAAGUAAUACCACUCACAGCUACAUGGAUGCAACCAGAGAUGAGCAUAAUAAACAAAGAAAGACAAAUACCAUAUGAUGUCACUUAAUAUGUGGAAUAUAAAAUAUGAGACAAAUGAACAUAUCUUUGAAACAGACUCCCAAACAUAGAGAACAGACUUGUGGUUGCUGAAGGGGAGAGGGAGUGGGGAGGGAAGGACUGGGAGUGCUGGGGACAAGCAGAUGCAAACUAUUAUAUAUAUAGGAUGUAUAAACAACAAGAUUCUACUGUAUAGCAGAGAGAACUCUAUUCAACAUCCUGUGAUAAACCAUCAUGGAAAAGAAUAUGAAAAAGAAUAUAUCUACGUAUAACUGAGUGUGCAGUAUAACUACAUGUAACUGUGCCGUGCAGCAUAAACACAACACUAUAAAUCAACUAUACUUCAGGAAAAAAUAUUGACAUUUUGUUCAUCAUGGAUUUUUUUCACUUUGAAAUGUUAAAAUAGUACAUUAAGCACCAUUAAUCUUGAUGUUUUUGGUGCUCACUAACUUUUCUCCCUCAGGUGAG
rnacentral:lncRNA from 1 species